rnacentral:rRNA from 1 species
GCGAACGCUGGCGGCAGGCUUAACACAUGCACGUCGAGCGGGCAUAGCAAUAUGUCAGCGGCAGACGGGUGAGUAACGCGUGGGAACGUACCUUUUGGUUCGGAACAACUGAGGGAAACUUCAGCUAAUACCGGAUAAGCCCUUACGGGGAAAGAUUUAUCGCCGAAAGAUCGGCCCGCGUCUGAUUAGCUAGUUGGUGAGGUAAUGGCUCACCAAGGCGACGAUCAGUAGCUGGUCUGAGAGGAUGAUCAGCCACAUUGGGACUGAGACACGGCCCAAACUCCUACGGGAGGCAGCAGUGGGGAAUAUUGGACAAUGGGCGCAAGCCUGAUCCAGCCAUGCCGCGUGAGUGAUGAAGGCCCUAGGGUUGUAAAGCUCUUUUGUGCGGGAAGAUAAUGACGGUACCGCAAGAAUAAGCCCCGGCUAACUUCGUG